rnacentral:misc_RNA from 1 species
ACAUCGCGUCGCCACACCUCGACUCUCCUCCGCUCUUCCCCGCUCUCCCCAUCUGACCCCCCUCCUGCCUACUGCCCCCUCUCUCCUCGUCCGCUGUGCUGCGUCGUCUGGGCCCCACCCCACCCCUGCCUUUGCCUCUCCCGUCUGCCUCGGCGCCGGCCUUCUCAGUGUUUCGCUCUUGUGCGUUGUCGCCCAUGGCGUACAAUAUCACCGUCAUUGUCUACGUGGUCGUGCAGUUCGUGGCGUUCCUUUUGGUGCUGGUGGGAACGCCGCUGGACAUUUUCCGUGAACGAAAUCCUUCUUCCGGUGUUAGUAGUGCAUGCAUUACGCUUUUCGGGUUAAAGGGACAGUGUUCGUCUCUUCUGUAUACCCGUACGACUGAUAUGCUGUGGGAAGAGUGUCCUCCACGCAUCCCCCGAUUCCGCCUUGCGCAGGGAUGCGCCAUCAUCUCCAUCUUCGUGUACGGCGGAGCGUUCAUGCUGGGCUUUAUUUUGCUGUUCUGCUGCUCUUUGCUCCGGUGGGUCUGCCUGGCGCUCAACGUGGUCGGCAUGGUCACCUCGUGCAUUGUGUGGGCGGCCAUGGCGAGGACAUACAACCAGCAUGAUGGCGAGACUUGCGAGCCCAUGAAGACAAGCAGUAGAUAUGGUGCCGGCUUCGCGCUCUUUGUUGUGGCCUGGAUACUGGAUACCCUCAACAUCAUCUUGUUGCUGCUCCCAUGCACGGCCACAGAAGGUCCGGAGGAUAGGAAAAAGCUGCCACCUUCAGGACAGGAGUAGGAUGCACACAGCAAGAGGGAGCGGGGGGCGGGCUUGAGAGCGGCGCGGCCCCUCCCCCACACCGGCGUCCUCGUGGUGGAGCCGGUGUCGGCGAGGAUGAGGGUGCGCAAGCUGCGGGCUCCCGUGUGUGCCCUUCGCCGGCCCAGCCCUCUCGCUCCCUGUCGUGCGCGCGUGCGUGUGCGCGGGCAGCAGCGGCACCGCCGUGCACAGGCACCGCUGCCGAGGGGGCGAUUGCAGCACUUCCCGCAUGCCUGCGUGUGAUACACGGCGGCUGCGUGUGUGCAGGCGCAUGCGCCCCUGUGCCCCCUCCUCCCCCUCGAUCCGUGAGCGGCCCCCGCGACCAUCGCUCACUUACGCUGCCGUUGUUCGCGGGUGCCGCCCCACGCUCUCGCCUUACUCGACGCUCGUCUCUUUCGAGCUCGCUCAUGCUUGCUGUUCUCUCCUGCGCGCAGAGAGAGGUGCGUGGCGUGUGCGUGUGCGUGCGCCUCUGCGCCUCCCUCCGCUGCUCGCACCCUCCCUGUGCGCGUGUGUGCUGGCGGAGGCGGCUGGCUGUGGCGACGACGCAGGCACGGGCAGCAGCCGUGCAGCACAGCAGGCGCGUACACGCAUACACACCUAUACACGCGGGAACGGGACUGCAGGCGAGGGGCAGGACCGGAGAAUGCGCGGCGGCACGAGCGAGUGCGACGGUGGAGCGGAGCAGCGGCGGCGCUGCUUUCCUGCUCGCUCCUCUGGCGUCUGGCUCGAGCCCGUCUGCGUGUGCGCCCCCUGUGUCGCUGUGUCUCCUCGCCUCUCUCCUGCGCGAUUUGUGUCGAUGGCUUCGUUGCUGACGCACCCCACCGAGUCCUCCAGGCUCCGCCGUGUGGAGUUGCCACGCCGUAUGUGACGGGUUGCAGCGCACCGACGCGACUGUGGGGAGAGAAGCACUGCAUCCAGGUCGACUACACUGCAGGGCCUCACAGGGCCCUGACCGGAGGCUGGGCAGCAUUCUCCCUCGGCUCGUGCGGCACGUAGAGCCACCGCUCCCCACGAACGCCCUGCUACCCUUGGUUACCCCCUCCCCACCGACAGAGGCCAGCGCCUCCGUCAUGGAGCACGACCCUGAGGGGGCGGCCCCGCUGGGAGCGCGGCGUGCCGUGCGCCCCGGUGCGUGUGGCGCCGAUGCAGCGGCAGGACGGCUCGUCCUCGACGACGCGGAUGUGGCCGCCGUGCCACAGGGCGUAGGCGGGCCGUGGCUGUACGCGCGCAUCUGCCGGCUUGUGCGUGGUGGCGUGGAGGCGGUGAGAAGGAAGUGCAUGCCUCGCGGACUCGGACAGACAUGCGAAUCAGCACAUCUAAACACAAGCAAAACGACGCGUGCAUAUAUGCACCGAUAUCUAUAUCUAUAUAUAUAUAUGGCUGUGUGGAUGUCUGUAACGACAAAACCGCCAAACGCCUGUUAUUACGCUGUGCUCGCCUGGCAGGGCGGAGGGCGUGCGUGCGCUUGCUUCUCCUCUCUUGCUUGUCCUGUGUUUCCUUUGCGGCACGCCUUCCUGCGCGCGUGCCUGGUAUUUAUCAUGCUUGCUUCCGUUGUCCGACUCGUUC